UACGAAGGGGGCUAGCGUUGUUCGGAAUUACUGGGCGUAAAGCGCGCGCAGGCGGCUAUCCAAGUCAGUGGUGAAAGCCCGGAGCUCAACUCCGGAACUGCCAUUGAAACUGUUUAGCUUGAGGAUGAGAGAGGUGAGUGGAAUUCCCAGUGUAGAGGUGAAAUUCGUAGAUAUUGGGAAGAACACCGGUGGCGAAGGCGGCUCACUGGCUCAGUACUGACGCUCAGGCGCGAUAGCGUGGGGAUCAAACAGG
rnacentral:rRNA from 1 species